rnacentral:lncRNA from 1 species
CUGCCCCCCCCCCCCGCCCACUCCUCUCCGGCUCUGCAUCUGCUUCCCUUUUCCUGUUUUCUCUCGGCCCCUCUCUCGGCCUCAGGCUCCCUCUGGGGCUCCCGUGGAUGAAGACAGAGGAAGGGGCAGAGGCAGGGUGGGUGGGCAGAGGGGACGCCAGUGGCCAGCCAUGCGCUCUGCCAGGGCCUGCAGGACGCAGGGCUUGGCCCUGCCUUCCGGCCAGCUUUGCUCUGGACUUGUGGGGGCUCUGCUGUGGGUGGAGAAGGUUCUGGAAGAGCCCCCUGGGCCCAAGCCCACAGGAGCAGCACUUCCCUGCAGGGCCUGGUCUGUGCAGCUGACAAGUCCAUGCACAGACCCCAUAGAGAUGCCUACACUCAUUUUGAUUUUAUUUAUGCCAAAAGGAAAAGGAAACCAGCCCGGGAAGCCAGCCAGCCCUGAGUCACAGGCUGGGAGCCACAGAAGCAGUGACAGGGAGCCCCCCGGCCGAGAGGUAUGAGUGACUCUGUCUGCCCUCCUGGCUGUUUGUCCCCCCCCACCCCCUGCAUUGUGCUGGUGGCAGAGAGGCUGGGCCCUUGGGAGACCUGGAGCAGGAAGCACCACGGAAGGUGGUCCUGGGGCGCCCAGCAGGGACAGGCCGUGUGCCCUCUGACCAGCGAGGUGGCACCGAGAUGGAGGGAGAGCGGGUGCCCACAACCCCCAAGUGCACGGUGGGCCCCUUGGCUCAGGGACGGCUGGGCUUCCACCCUCGCACUCGCCCAGCGCCUGCAGGGCCCUCACGCCCGGGUCAGAUCAUCUGCAAACCAGCACGGCUGUCCCUGGAGCUCCGGGGGUACUUGUGGCCACCACUCCCCAGGGCCCCAUGUGGACAGAGCAGGGCCGCAGUGCUUGCCUGAGUCCUGUGGAGCAUGCGACAGGCCAUGCCUGGCCGUCGAACAGACAUGUGUGUGCCUGUGUGUGGGUGAGUGUGGGUGUGUGAGGGUGCUUUCUGUUAGCGCAAAGUUCUAACACCCUUUUUUUCUUUAAGGCAUUUGAGGCACAUGGAGGUUCCCAGGCUAGGGGUAGAAUUGGAGCUGUAGCCACCGGCCUACGCCAGAGCCACAGCAACGCAGGAUCCGAGCUACAUCUGCGACCUACACCACAGCUCAUGGCAAUGCCGGAUCCUUAACCCACUGAUCGAGGCCAGGGAUUGAACCCCCAACCUCAUGGUUCCUGGUCAAAUUCGUUCCCGCUGAGUCACGACGGGAACUCCCUAACACCGUUUUCAAGGCAUGAGGUCUCACUUUCCACACCCAGACACCAACAGCACUUCCCGGGGCCGCGUAACCCGGGACCUCCCUUCCUUUUCCGAGCCCGUGUUGUCAACAUGUAUUAAGAGACACACACGUUCAGAUUCUCUGACCAACCCCCCCAUCAGUCCUGGGCUGGAUCCUCAGGAAGGGACUCAGGUGAGUUCUGAGUCACAUACCAAACAGGAUCAGAGACACGUCAUUUGCUCCAGUAAACAGUGUGUAAAGGCCCAGCUGCGGAGGUCACGGGGCUGAGCGAGAGCUCACGCCUCGGGUUCGGCCUGGGGAGCGGUCCCUGGGCAGGCAGGGCCGUGUGGCCACGCUGAGGGUCUGACCUCCAGGCCGAGGGGGGUGGGACGCCAGGGAGACACAGGUGCCAGCAGCCAGGGGCAACUGCCAGGGCCCAGGGCACCCCCGCGCCUCACCUCGGGCCUGAGGGGCUGUAGGAGAGGGGCUCGGACUUGACCCGCGAGCCUGGGAGAGAGUGGUCAGCUCACGGCCCUGGGUCACAGGACCCAGGAUCAGAGUCACCCCAGGAAAAAAUGGCAAACACUGUCACUUUGGGUUGUUGGGGCCUUGUUCUGGGGCUUAAGACAAAGUAACAAGCUCCUGCCCAGCCUCGGCCACUCGAGGCCCAGCUGGGGAGCCUCGGGUCAAGGGCUGCCACCGGCCAGCUCUGCUUUGCGGCCUGAAGGGGGCCGGGCAGGGGCCGCCUUCCCACUGCCCUCACAUUCCUGGGUUAAAUGUCCCCUCCGCUCCCUACUUCUAGGAAGCAGGAUUCCUGGACCAGGGCCUCUUUUUACCCUGGGACAACCCUGCCUGACUCAGCCACCACCCUGGGAAGCAUCCAGAAUUCCUCGGAACCAAAGGCCGUGGCCUCAGCCAGGAAUACCUUGGGGACAGGAUGGAUGCUCGAAGGACCUGAAUUCCUGCCUCCAGCUCCAGCCUGGGAUUCCCAGGACGAGGGUCCCCAAGGGAAACAACUUUUCAGAGCAGCGUGGACAUGGUGAGGGCGUGGGCAGCUGGGCCGUUCUUCAGGGGAGGGGUGUGCUCUAGGGGGCACACCGCCCAGCCUCCCCCUUCCCCAGGGACAGGGCACAGUGACCGGGGGGGAGGGGAGGGCGGAAGUGGCAGAAGCAGUCCCUGCUCAGGGCCGGACCCCUGUCACCGUGCUCAGACAAGUCACGUGGCUCAGAGGCCUGAGGCUUUCAGGGAACGGUCGGGACUUCUGGAGCCAUGACUGGCCAUGUGGGCGCUCCCUUCUGCCCAGCAACUCCUGCUUCCUGCUCACUUUGGUUUGGUGGGACAGCAGACAGAUCUUUGUUCUGGAAGCUCCUGACACAGACGAGGAAGCUGUGUGUGCCUGGGGAGGCUGGCGGCAGCCGCCACACACCUGCCCCAGUGGUAUCUGUGCCCUGGGGAGGACAAGCCCGUGAGCUGGCCCACAUCCGCACACCGUGUCGCCUCCUCGCGAGGCAGGCCCGUCCUCCGAGGGCCGGGCCACAGCGGCCUCUGAAGGACCCGCACCCAAGCCCGCGAGUGUGGCCGGGCCAGGCCCCUGCUUCAGGACCCCUUGCUGUUGAACGUGAAAACGAACAGGAAACUGUUAAAUCCGACGGAAGACUGACACCUGAGGUUUCAGAAGUUCUCAGUGGCGCCGACGCAGUGUAGGUGGGUCGCAUUCUAGAAAGUGGCUUCAAACACCAAACCGGUCGUCCCUGGACCUUUCUUGGCUCUGUCCCAUUUCUACGAACGAGCCGACAGGCUGCUGCCCCGCCGGCUUCUGCAGCGUCUCCUCGGUCAGUGUAGCGCUGGGCGGUGACAUGACGUCCCCCGAAAGAACCUGUCUAACCUGGGCUUUCUCCGCCAGGGGCAUCCUGGCCGCCUUUUGUGUCCCCAGAUGCCAGGCAGCGCUUGAGCACAGCCCGGGCGGGGUGGGGGGGUGUGCACUGUUUAAAAUGCGGCCUCCGGGAAACGCAGAAUGCAAACCCUUGGUGAGACGGGUUCGUGAGAAGGGUUCAUGAGAAGGACAGGUCCCCGGCGGAGCUGGACGCACGGCCUCAGCCGCAGACAGGCCCUGGACCCUGAGCUGAGUGGCUCGGUGCAGCGGCUGUGACCAGGGACCCCGGAGGCACAGUCUGAGGCGCAGGACAUUUUAGGGGGCAGCCGAGUUCGCCAACACAGAAUCUGCGAUUCAUGGGCUGAGAGUACUUUCCUCGAAGAAAAACUCGGAGAGUAGAAGCAGCAUGGAGGCCUCUCAACGGGAAGGAGUGUCUCCCCUGCGGUCGGGGGCAUCAGAGCCCCAGGCUUCGGCGAGCUCCCGGGUGGCUGAGUGGAGCCUGGGUCCAAUGAGCGCCUCUAACUGAACAAAGGCUCCCGUCAGUCCCCCAGGGGCCGGGGCGGGCAGGCGGGACACAGGCCGGGGCGGGACACCCUUCUGUACGAGUUAUGCAGCCGUUUCCGCCCGUGUGAAACCCAGCGUGCGGCACGGGUUCAAGGGCAGCCCGGCCUCAAUGAGACGUGUAC